AGUGAACGCUGGCGGUAGGCCUAACACAUGCAAGUCGAACGGCAGCACAGUAAGAGCUUGCUCUUACGGGUGGCGAGUGGCGGAUGGGUGAGGAAUACAUCGGAAUCUACUUUUUCGUGGGGGAUAACGUAGGGAAACUUACGCUAAUACCCCAUACGACCUACGGGUUAAAGCAGGGGAUCUUCGGCCCUUGCGCGAUUGAAUGAGCCGAUGUCGGAUUAGCUAGUUGGCGGGGUAAAGGCCCACCAAGGCGACGAUCCGUAGCUGGUCUGAGAGGAUGAUCAGCCACACUGGAACUGAGACACGGUCCAGACUCCUACGGGAGGCAGCAGUGGGGAAUAUUGGACAAUGGGCGCAAGCCUGAUCCAGCCAUACCGCGUGGGUGAAGAAGGCCUUCGGGUUGUAAAGCCCUUUUGUUGGGAAAGAAAAGCAGCAGGUUAAUACCCCGCUGUUCUGACGGUACCCAAAGAAUAAGCACCGGCUAACUUCGUG
rnacentral:rRNA from 1 species